UUAAGCGACCAAGCGUACACGGUGGAUGCCCUGGCAGUCAGAGGCGAUGAAGGACGUGCUAAUCUGCGAAAAGCGCCGGUAAGGUGAUAUGAACCGUUAUAACCGGCGAUGUCCGAAUGGGGAAACCCAGUGUGAUUCGUCACACUAUCAUUAACUGAAUCCAUAGGUUAAUGAGGCGAACCGGGGGAACUGAAACAUCUAAGUACCCCGAGGAAAAGAAAUCAACCGAGAUUCCCCCAGUAGCGGCGAGCGAACGGGGAGGAGCCCAGAGCCUGAAUCAGCAUGUGUGUUAGUGGAAACGUCUGGAAAGGCGCGCGAUACAGGGUGAGAGCCCCGUACACAAAAGCGCACGUGCUGUGAGCUCGAUGAGUAGGGCGGGACACGUGGUAUCCUGUCUGAAUAUGGGGGGACCAUCCUCCAAGGCUAAAUACUCCUGACUGACCGAUAGUGAACCAGUACCGUGAGGGAAAGGCGAAAAGAACCCCGGCGAGGGGAGUGAAACAGAACCUGAAACCGUGUACGUACAAGCAGUGGGAGCACAGGUUUACCUGUGUGACUGCGUACCUUUUGUAUAAUGGGUCAGCGACUUAUAUUCUGUAGCAAGGUUAACCGCAUAGGGGAGCCGGAGGGAAACCGAGUCUUAAUUGGGCGUUAAGUUGCAGGGUAUAGACCCGAAACCCGGUGAUCUAGCCAUGGGCAGGUUGAAGGUUGGGUAACACUAACUGGAGGACCGAACCGACUAAUGUUGAAAAAUUAGCGGAUGACCUGUGGCUGGGGGUGAAAGGCCAAUCAAACCGGGAGAUAGCUGGUUCUCCCCGAAAGCUAUUUAGGUAGCGCCUCGUGAAUUCAUCUCCGGGGGUAGAGCACUGUUUCGGCCAGGGGGCCAUCCCGGCUUACCAAUCCGAUGCAAACUGCGAAUACCGGAGAAUGUUAUCACGGGAGACACACGGCGGGUGCUAACGUCCGUCGUGAAGAGGGAAACAACCCAGACCGCCAGCUAAGGUCCCAAAGUCAUGGUUAAGUGGGAAACGAUGUGGGAAGGCCCAGACAGCCAGGAUGUUGGCUUAGAAGCAGCCAUCAUUUAAAGAAAGCGUAAUAGCUCACUGGUCGAGUCGGCCUGCGCGGAAGAUGUAACGGGGCUAAACCAUGCACCGAAGCUGCGGCAGCGACACUGAUGUGUUGUUGGGUAGGGGAGCGUUCUGUAAGCCGUUGAAGGUGGCCUGUGAGGGUUGCUGGAGGUAUCAGAAGUGCGAAUGCUGACAUAAGUAACGAUAAAGCGGGUGAAAAGCCCGCUCGCCGGAAGACCAAGGGUUCCUGUCCAACGUUAAUCGGGGCAGGGUGAGUCGACCCCUAAGGCGAGGCCGAAAGGCGUAGUCGAUGGGAAACGGGUUAAUAUUCCCGUACUUGGUGUUACUGCGAAGGGGGGACGGAGAAGGCUAUGUUGGCCGGGCGACGGUUGUCCCGGUUUAAGCGUGUAGGUGUGUGUUCCAGGUAAAUCCGGUUCACUUUAACACUGAGGCGUGAUGACGAGGCACUACGGUGCUGAAGCAACAAAUGCCCUGCUUCCAGGAAAAGCCUCUAAGCCUCAGGUAACAUCAAAUCGUACCCCAAACCGACACAGGUGGUCAGGUAGAGAAUACCAAGGCGCUUGAGAGAACUCGGGUGAAGGAACUAGGCAAAAUGGUGCCGUAACUUCGGGAGAAGGCACGCUGACACGUAGGUGAAGUGGUUUACCCAUGGAGCUGAAGUCAGUCGAAGAUACCAGCUGGCUGCAACUGUUUAUUAAAAACACAGCACUGUGCAAACACGAAAGUGGACGUAUACGGUGUGACGCCUGCCCGGUGCCGGAAGGUUAAUUGAUGGGGUCAGCGCAAGCGAAGCUCCUGAUCGAAGCCCCGGUAAACGGCGGCCGUAACUAUAACGGUCCUAAGGUAGCGAAAUUCCUUGUCGGGUAAGUUCCGACCUGCACGAAUGGCGUAAUGAUGGCCAGGCUGUCUCCACCCGGGACUCAGUGAAAUUGAACUCGCUGUGAAGAUGCAGUGUACCCGCGGCAAGACGGAAAGACCCCGUGAACCUUUACUAUAGCUUGACACUGAACACUGGUCCUUGAUGUGCAGGAUAGGUGGGAGGCUUUGAAGUGUGGACGCCAGUCUGCAUGGAGCCAUCCUUGAAAUACCACCCUUUAAUGGCUGGUGUUCUAACGUGGGCCCGUGAACCGGGUUGCGGACAGUGUCUGGUGGGUAGUUUGACUGGGGCGGUCUCCUCCUAAAGAGUAACGGAGGAGCACGAAGGUUGGCUAAUCCUGGUCGGACAUCAGGAGGUUAGUGCAAUGGCAUAAGCCAGCUUGACUGCGAGCGUGACGGCGCGAGCAGGUGCGAAAGCAGGUCAUAGUGAUCCGGUGGUUCUGAAUGGAAGGGCCAUCGCUCAACGGAUAAAAGGUACUCCGGGGAUAACAGGCUGAUACCGCCCAAGAGUUCAUAUCGACGGCGGUGUUUGGCACCUCGAUGUCGGCUCAUCACAUCCUGGGGCUGAAGUAGGUCCCAAGGGUAUGGCUGUUCGCCAUUUAAAGUGGUACGCGAGCUGGGUUUAGAACGUCGUGAGACAGUUCGGUCCCUAUCUGCCGUGGGCGCUGGAAGAUUGAGGGGGGCUGCUCCUAGUACGAGAGGACCGGAGUGGACGCAUCACUGGUGUUCGGGUUGUCAUGCCAAUGGCACUGCCCGGUAGCUACAUGCGGAAGAGAUAAGUGCUGAAAGCAUCUAAGCACGAAACUUGCCCCGAGAUGAAUCUUCCCUGAGCCUUUAAGGCUCCUGAAGGAACGUUGAAGACGACGACGUUGAUAGGCCGGGUGUGUAAGCGCAGCGAUGCGUUGAGCUAACCGGUACUAAUGAACCGUGAGGCUUAACCUU
rnacentral:rRNA from 1 species